AUUGAACGCUGGCGGCAGGCCUAACACAUGCAAGUCGAGCGGUAGCACAGAGAGCUUGCUCUCGGGUGACGAGCGGCGGACGGGUGAGUAAUGUCUGAGAAACUGCCUGAUGGAGGGGGAUAACUACUGGAAACGGUAGCUAAUACCGCAUAACGUCGCAAGACCAAAGAGGGGGACCUUCGGGCCUCUUGCCAUCAGAUGUGCCCAGAUGGGAUUAGCUAGUAGGUGGGGUAACGGCUCACCUAGGCGACGAUCCCUAGCUGGUCUGAGAGGAUGACCAGCCACACUGGAACUGAGACACGGUCCAGACUCCUACGGGAGGCAGCAGUGGGGAAUAUUGCACAAUGGGCGCAAGCCUGAUGCAGCCAUGCCGCGUGUAUGAAGAAGGCCUUCGGGUUGUAAAGUACUUUCAGCGGGGAGGAAGGUGUUGAGGUUAAUAACCUCAGCAAUUGACGUUACCCGCAGAAGAAGCACCGGCUAACUCCGUGCCAGCCGCCGCGGUAA
rnacentral:rRNA from 1 species